rnacentral:rRNA from 1 species
CCUACGGGAGGCAGCAGUGAGGAAUAUUGGUCAAUGGGCGGGAGCCUGAACCAGCCAAGUCGCGUGAGGGAAGACGGUCCUAUGGAUUGUAAACCUCUUUAGGCGGGGAGCAAUGCCGGGCACGCGUGCCCGGAGGGAGAGUACCCGCAGAAUAAGCAUCGGCUAACUCCGUGACAGCAGCCGCGGUAAUACGGGGGAUGCGAGCGUUAUCCGGAUUUAUUGGGUUUAAAGGGUGCGUGGGCGGAUUUUUAAGUCAGCGGUAAAAUGUCCGGGCUCAACCCGGGCCGGCCGUUGAAACGGGGGCUCUGGAGUGGGCGAGAGGUAGGCGGAAGGCGUGGUGUAGCGGGGAAAUGCAUAGAUAUCACGCAGAACUACGAUUGCGAAGGCAGCAUACCGGCGCCCGACUGACGCUGAGGCACGAAAGCGUGGGGAUCGAACAGGAUUAGAUACCCCAGUAGUC